CCUACGGGUGGCAGCAGUGAGGAAUAUUGGUCAAUGGGCGUAAGCCUGAACCAGCCAAGUCGCGUGAGGGAUGAAGGUUCUAUGGAUCGUAAACCUCUUUUGUCGGGGAGCAAAAGCCGGACGUGUCCGGCUGUGAGAGUACCCGAAGAAAAAGCAUCGGCUAACUCCGUGCCAGCAGCCGCGGUAAUACGGGGGAUGCGAGCGUUAUCCGGAUUUAUUGGGUUUAAAGGGGUCGCAGGCGGAUUUUUAAGUCAGCGGUCAAAUCGUGGGGCUCAACCCCAUCCAGCCGUUGAAACUGGGGCUCGAGAGUGUGCGAGAGGUAUGCGGAAUGCGUGGUGUAGCGGUGAAAUGCAUAGAUAUCACGCAGAACCCCGAUUGCGAAGGCAGCAUACCGGUGCACAACUGACGCUCAGGCACGAAAGCGUGGGUAUCGAACAGGAUUAGAUACCCUUGUAGUC
rnacentral:rRNA from 1 species